UACGUAGGGGGCGAGCGUUGUCCGAAGUUACUGGGCGUAAAGCGCGCGUAGGCGGUUGCCUAAGUCUGGGGUGAAAGGUUCAGGGCUUAACCCGAACAGUGCCUUGGAUACUGGGCGACUUGAGUGCCGAAGAGGAAAGCGGAAUUCCUGGUGUAGCGGUGAAAUGCGUAGAUAUCAGGAGGAACACCGAUGGCGAAGGCAGCUUUCUGGUCGGCAACUGACGCUGAGGUGCGAAAGCGUGGGGAGCGAACGGG
rnacentral:rRNA from 1 species